AUGUUGGGUUAAGUCCCGCAACGAGCGCAACCCUUGUCUGCUGUUGCCAUCACGUUAUGGUGGGCACUCUGCAGAGACUGCCGGUGAUAAACCGGAGGAAGGUGGGGAUGACGUCAAGUCAGCAUGGCCUUUAUGUCUGGGGCUACACACGUGCUACAAUGGCCGAUACAAACCGUCGCGAUACCGCAAGGUGGAGCUAAUCGGAGAAAGUCGGUCUCAGUUCGGAUUGUAGGCUGCAACUCGCCUGCAUGAAGUUGGAAUCGCUAGUAAUCGCGGAUCAGCACGCCGCGGUGAAUACGUUCCCGGGCCUUGUACACACCGCCCGUCACAUCACGAAAGCCGGUUGUACUAGAAGUCGCCACAUCAACCCGCAAGGGAGAGAGGUGCCUAAGGUAUGGCCGGUGAUUGGGGUGAAGUCGUAACAAGGUAA
rnacentral:rRNA from 1 species